rnacentral:rRNA from 1 species
GACGAACGCUGGCGGCGUGCUUAACACAUGCAAGUCGAACGGAAAGGCCUCUUUCGGGGGGUACUCGAGUGGCGAACGGGUGAGUAACACGUGAGUAACCUGCCCUUGACUUUGGGAUAACUUCAGGAAACUGGGGCUAAUACCGGAUAGGAGCUCCUGCUGCAUGGUGGGGGUUGGAAAGUUUCGGCGGUUGGGGAUGGACUCGCGGCUUAUCAGCUUGUUGGUGGGGUAGUGGCUUACCAAGGCUUUGACGGGUAGCCGGCCUGAGAGGGUAACCGGCCACAUUGGGACUGAGAUACGGCCCAGACUCCUACGGGAGGCAGCAGUGGGGAAUAUUGCACAAUGGGUGGAAGCCUGAUGCAGCAACGCCGUGGGCGGGAGGACGGCCUUCGGGUUGUAAACCGCUUUCGCUCAUGACGAAGCUUUGUGUGACGGUAGUGGGUAAAGAAGCACCGGCUAACUACGUG